ACGAACGCUGGCGGCGUGCUUAACACAUGCAAGUCGAACGAGGUUCUACCGGUGGCAACACCGGGAAAGACCUAGUGGCGAACGGGUGAGUAACACGUGAGGAACCUGCCCCGAAGACCGGGAUAACCCUCCGAAAGGAGGGCUAAUACCGGAUGCCCUCUACUGAUCGCAUGGUCGGUUGAGGAAAGGAUUCUGCUUCGGGAGGGCCUCGCGGCCUAUCAGCUUGUUGGUGAGGUAACGGCUCACCAAGGCGACGACGGGUAGCUGGUCUGAGAGGACGAUCAGCCACACUGGGACUGAGACACGGCCCAGACUCCUACGGGAGGCAGCAGUGGGGAAUCUUGCGCAAUGGGCGAAAGCCUGACGCAGCAACGCCGCGUGCGGGAUGAAGGCCUUCGGGUUGUAAACCGCUUUCAGUGGGGACGAAUUCAGACGGUACCCACAGAAGAAGCCCCGGCCAACUACGU
rnacentral:rRNA from 1 species